AAUUGGAGGGCAAGUCUGGUGCCAGCAGCCGCGGUAAUUCCAGCUCCAAUAGCGUAUAUUAAAGUUGUUGCAGUUAAAAAGCUCGUAGUUGAAUUUCGGGGUUAGUAGGUUGGUCAUGCCUCUGGUAUGUACUGAUCUCACUGAUUCCUCCUUCCUUAUGAACCGUAAUGCCAUUAAUUUGGUGUUGCGGGGAAUUUGGACUGUUACUUUGAAAAAAUUAGGGUGUUUAAAGCAGGCUAACGCUUGAAUACAUUAGCAUGGAAUAAUGAAAUAGGACGUUCGAUCUUAUUUUGUUGGUUUCUAGGAUUGACGUAAUGAUUAAUAGGGAUAGUUGGGGGCAUUAGUAUUCAAUUGUCAGAGGUGAAAUUCUUGGAUUUAUUGAAGACUAACUACUGCGAAAGCAUUUGCCAAGGAUGUUUUCAUUAAUCAAGAACGAAAGUUAGGGGAUCGAAGACGAUCAGAUACCGUCGUAGUCUUAACCAUAAACUAUGCCGACUAGGGAUCGGAUGAUGUUAAUUUUUUAAUGACUCAUUCGGCGCCUUACGGGAAACCAAAGUGU
rnacentral:rRNA from 1 species